rnacentral:rRNA from 1 species
AGAGUUUGAUCCUGGCUCAGGAUGAACGCUAGCGGCAGGCUUAACACAUGCAAGUCGAGGGGCAGCGGGGAGGAAGCUUGCUUUCUCCGCCGGCGACCGGCGCACGGGUGAGUAACACGUAUGCAACCUGCCCCUGUCAGGGGGACAACCCGCCGAAAGGCGGGCUAAACCCGCGUACAUGCCACCGGGGCAUCCCGGAGGCAGGAAAGGCUUCGGCCGGACAGGGAUGGGCAUGCGGCGCAUUAGGCAGUAGGCGGGGUAACGGCCCACCUAACCGACGAUGCGUAGGGGUUCUGAGAGGAAGGUCCCCCACACUGGUACUGAGACACGGACCAGACUCCUACGGGAGGCAGCAGUGAGGAAUAUUGGUCAAUGGUCGGGAGACUGAACCAGCCAAGCCGCGUGAGGGAGGAAGGUACAGAGUAUUGUAAACCUCUUUUGUCAGGGAACAAAGGCGGGGACGUGUCCCCGGAUGAGUGUACCUGAAGAAAAAGCAUCGGCUAACUCCGUGCCAGCAGCCGCGGUAAUACGGAGGAUGCGAGCGUUAUCCGGAUUUAUUGGGUUUAAAGGGUGCGCAGGCGGUCUGUUAAGUCAGCGGUCAAAGCCCGGGGCUCAACCCCGGCCCGCCGUUGAAACUGGCAGUCUCGAGUUGGAGAGAAGUAUGCGGAAUGCGCGGUGUAGCGGUGAAAUGCAUAGAUAUCGCGCAGAACUCCGAUUGCGAAGGCAGCAUGCCGGCUCCACACUGACGCUGAGGCACGAAAGCGUGGGUAUCGAACAGGAUUAGAUACCCUGGUAGUCCACGCAGUAAACGACGAAUGCUGGCUGUCCCGGGGGAUUGACCCCUGGGUGGCGAAGCGAAAGCGAUAAGCAUUCCACCUGGGGAGUACGCCGGCAACGGUGAAACUCAAAGGAAUUGACGGGGGCCCGCACAAGCGGAGGAACAUGUGGUUUAAUUCGAUGAUACGCGAGGAACCUUACCCGGGCUCAAACGGGGAGUGACUCAGGCAGAGACGCCUGUUUCCCACGGGACACUCCCCGAGGUGCUGCAUGGUUGUCGUCAGCUCGUGCCGUGAGGUGUCGGCUUAAGUGCCAUAACGAGCGCAACCCCCGCGUGCAGUUGCUAACAGAUAACGCUGAGGACUCUGCACGGACUGCCGGCGCAAGCCGCGAGGAAGGCGGGGAUGACGUCAAAUCAGCACGGCCCUUACGUCCGGGGCGACACACGUGUUACAAUGGGUGGUACAGCGGGAAGCCAGGCGGCGACGCCGAGCGGAACCCGAAAUCCACUCUCAGUUCGGAUCGGAGUCUGCAACCCGACUCCGUGAAGCUGGAUUCGCUAGUAAUCGCGCAUCAGCCAUGGCGCGGUGAAUACGUUCCCGGGCCUUGUACUCACCGCCCGUCA